GUGGCAAGGGAUCCACAAAAACACUCAAGGGAGAUGGGAAAAGGCACCAGAUAAAUCAUAUCCCCAAUGUUUCGCCACUCUAUGAUGAAAGAUAAGGAGGCAGAAAGCACCUCUACUACCUCUCAGGAAAGAAAAAACUAAUGUCAAAGGCUGGCAGGAGAGAAUAUUCCAUAACAUUUAACUUUGGAGGUCCAUGAAAAAAUAGUGGAAUAAGGUCUUAUUGUCUCAAGAAUUGGCAGUGUUCUAGCCGGAUCAGCCACAGACCACAGGAACAAACCCGUCAUCUGACAAAUUCAGGUUUACUGACCCAUUGCAAUGAGGAAAACUACACGCCAGAGAAAUCUUAGGGCAUCUCACCAAAAGAAAAGAUAAGAGUUUUUGUAAUAUUUUGAAUAAAAUGGAAGUGAGGUGAAAUUUAAAUGAAGUGGUGUUUUGAUAGGCUUAGAGCAAAGGAGAGCUGUAUGUAAAGGGGCAGACUUCAGGAUUGGAUUAUAAAAUGAACCCAAGGUUCUUUGUCCUUAUAAGCAACAAAGUUACGAUGGAUGUGAACACUGUCUCUUACCUGAAGCUCUGCCAUCUGGGAUGUAAAUCAAGACUGCUUCUCUAUGUCAAAGUGACUUAGGUUCUCCAGGAAAGAGUGGAAUGUUUAACUCUUGCCAAUACACGUUGAAUUUCCCUAAUUCAAAAAUCUGAUAUACACAAUGCUCCAAAAUCC
rnacentral:lncRNA from 1 species